rnacentral:rRNA from 1 species
UACGAAGGGGGCUAGCGUUGCUCGGAAUUACUGGGCGUAAAGCGUGCGCAGGCGGUUCGCAAAGUCUGAUGUGAAAGCCCCGGGCUCAACCUGGGAACUGCAUUGGAAACUAACGGGCUCGAGUGUGGCAGAGGGGGGUGGGAAUUCCACGUGUAGCAGUGAAAUGCGUAGAGAUGUGGAGGAACACCGAUGGCGAAGGCAGCCCCCCUGGGCUAACACUGACGCUCAGGCACGAAAGCGUGGGGAGCAAACAGG